GGACAAAUUAACAUUUAAACCAGCAGCGCGCGGCGUGUCACUGUCUGUACUGCUGCGCGAGAGUGCGCGUGCCCGUCAUUAACGGUCAACUUCCAGCAGACGGACACGGAGGAAAAGGUCCUGACUGCCACCAGUCGAGUCAAUGAUUCAGUGGAGAGACAAUCUGGGCAGCAGCAACAAGACAACUAUUACGAGUAGAGAUGGGUUUCAAGAUCCAGGUGCAAGGUGCAAUAAGAUGCAAGGAUCCAGGAUCAAGAGAUCAUUCAUCAUGAAGACUGUUCAAUAGGAAGCAGCGAAUCCUGGGUGAAAAACUAAACCUGGUUGUUUCAGCAUCACUCAGGCAAGGCAAAAUACAUUUAAAUUGAUUUCAGUAGGUUAUAUGUUUCAGAUCAUCCUGACCAUUCUGUUGUCCUGGAUUUGAAGACAUGCUGGAACUGUAUUUCUCGUGGCUGAAAGAUUUGUGCAGCGGUAUCCAGACAUAUAAGCACCCUUCCUGGACCCACACGACUAAAGGCUCUGGAGGAGAGACAGCUGCCGGAGAAGGAUAUUGACGAUGCAGGCUCAGGACGGCGAAGAGGAGGAAGAACACCUUUAACAUAAUUUUCUCAUACCUUUGUCAUGUGUUAUAAUAAAAACAAUAAACCUGACUACAAUAAUAUGGUAAAUUUUAUUAAAAGAUUCCAGUUUGCAAGGAAUCUGGAGUCUCUGACUCUGCCCUAAAGGAACUCUUUGCUGAGGAAGACCAAGUGCUGAGGAGGAGCCUUGUUCUACAGCAAAACACUGCAUCAACCCUCCAUGACAAGAUGAAGAGUGAAGAGUCUCCUCCUGUCCUUCCCUCAGAAGAGCCUGUCUUCUGCUGCUGGGGUAAGAACGACACUCUUCCUCGUCUCUCACAGCCGUCCAGCACCUAACUCUGCCUCCUCAGCACUGUCUGAAAGAGUCUUCUCCACAGUCAGUAAUCAGAGAUCACACAUUCUCCAGAGAAAGUCAACACGCUCAUUUUCCUAAACAAAACUGUUUAUGUU